rnacentral:rRNA from 1 species
GAUGAACGCUGGCGGCGUGCUUAACACAUGCAAGUCGAACGGAAAGGCUCCUGCUUGCAGGGGUACUCGAGUGGCGAACGGGUGAGUAACACGUGGGUGAUCUGCCCUGCACUUCGGGAUAAGCCUGGGAAACUGGGUCUAAUACCGGAUAGGACCACAUUUUGGAUGGUGUGGUGGAAAGUUUUUCGGUGUGGGAUGAGCUCGCGGCCUAUCAGCUUGUUGGUGGGGUAAUGGUCUACCAAGGCGUCGACGGGUAGCCGGCGUGAGAGGGUGGACGGCCACAUUGGGAGUGAGAUAUGGCCCAGACUCUUACGGGGGGCAGCAGUGGGGAAUAUUGCACAAUGGGGGCGAGACUGAGACAGCGACGCGGCGUGGGGGAUGACGGCCUUCGGGUGGUAAACACCUUUCGCUAGGGAAGAAGCGUUUUUGUGACGGUACCUGGAGAAGAAGCACCGGCUAACUACGUG